rnacentral:rRNA from 1 species
CCUACGGGAGGCAGCAGUGAGGAAUAUUGGUCAAUGGGCGCGAGCCUGAACCAGCCAAGUAGCGUGAAGGAUGACUGCCCUACGGGUUGUAAACUUCUUUUAUAAAGGAAUAAAGUGAGGCACGUGUGCCUUUUUGUAUGUACGUUAUGAAUAAGGAGCGGCUAACUCCGUGCCAGCAGCCGCGGUAAUACGGAGGAUCCGAGCGUUAUCCGGAUUUAUUGGGUUUAAAGCGAGCGUAGAUGGGUUGUUAAGUCAGUUUUGAAAGUUUGCGGCUCAACCGUAAAAUUUCAAUUGAUACUGGCAGUCUUGAGUACAGUUGAGCUAGGCGGAAUUCGUUUUGUAGCGG